AUACGUAGGUGGCAAGCGUUGUCCGGAUUUACUGGGUGUAAAGGGCGUGUAGGCGGAGAUGCAAGUCAGGAGUGAAAUCUAGGGGCUCAACCCCUAAACUGCUUUUGAAACUGUAUCCCUUGAGUAUCGGAGAGGCAGGCGGAAUUCCUAGUGUAGCGGUGAAAUGCGUUGAUAUUAGGAGGAACACCAGUGGCGAAGGCGUCCUGCGGGACGACAAAUGACGCUGAGGCGCGAAUGCGUGGGGAGCAAACAGGAGUAUCUACCCUGGUUGUCCACGCUGUAAACGAUGAUUACUAGGUGUGGGGGGACUGACCCCUUCCGUGCCGCAGUUACCACAAUAAGUAACCCACCUGGGGAGUACGGCCUCAAGGUUGAAACUCAAAUGAAUUGCCGGGG
rnacentral:rRNA from 1 species